rnacentral:rRNA from 1 species
UACGUAGGGGGCAAGCGUUGUCCGGAUUUAUUGGGCGUAAAGAGCGUGUAGGCGGCCAUGCAGGUCCGUUGUGAAAACUCGAGGCUCAACCUCGAGACGCCGGUGGAAACCGCAUGGCUAGAGUCCGGAAGAGGAGAGUGGAAUUCCUGGUGUAGCGGUGAAAUGCGCAGAUAUCAGGAAGAACACCCGUGGCGAAGGCGGCUCUCUGGGACGGUACUGACGCUGAGACGCGAAAGCGUGGGGAGCGAACAGG